GACGAACGCUGGCGGAGUGCUUAACACAUGCAAGUCGAGCGGAGCGGCGAACGGGUGAGUAACGCGUGAGUAACUGCCCCCCUCUCUGGGAUAACAGUUGGAAACGGCUGCUAAUACCGGAUAGUGGGGGAUGACUCGCGUCAUAUCAGCUUGUUGGUGGGGUAGUGGCCUACCAAGGCGCAGAGGGGUAGCCGGCCUGAGAGGGCGACCGGCCACAAUGGGCUGAGAUACGGCCCAAACUACUAAGGGAGGCAGCAGGGGGGAAUAGGGCACAAUGGGGGAAACCGUGAUGCAGCAACGCCGCGUGCGAGAUGACGGCCUUCGGGUUGUAAACCGCUUUCAGCCAUGACGCGGUAGUGGCAGAAGAAGCACCGGCUAACUACGUGCCAGCAGCCGCGGUAAUUC
rnacentral:rRNA from 1 species